rnacentral:rRNA from 1 species
GACGAACGCUGGCGGCGUGCUUAACACAUGCAAGUCGAACGGAAAGGCCCUGCUUUUGUGGGGUGCUCGAGUGGCGAACGGGUGAGUAACACGUGAGUAACCUGCCCUUGACUUUGGGAUAACUUCAGGAAACUGGGGCUAAUACCGGAUAGGAGCUCCUGCUGCAUGGUGGGGGUUGGAAAGUUUCGGCGGUUGGGGAUGGACUCGCGGCUUAUCAGCUUGUUGGUGGGGUAGUGGCUUACCAAGGCUUUGACGGGUAGCCGGCCUGAGAGGGUGACCGGCCACAUUGGGACUGAGAUACGGCCCAGACUCCUACGGGAGGCAGCAGUGGGGAAUAUUGCACAAUGGGCGGAAGUCUGAUGCAGCAACGCCGCGUGCGGGAUGACGGCCUUCGGGUUGUAAACCGCUUUCGCCUGUGACGAAGCGUGAGUGACGGUAAUGGGAAAAGAAGCACCGGCUAACUACGUG